rnacentral:rRNA from 1 species
AGCGCAGGCGGUUUGAUAAGUCUGAAGUUAAAGGCUGUGGCUCAACCAUAGUUCGCUUUGGAAACUGUCAAACUUGAGUGCAGAAGGGGAGAGUGGAAUUCCAUGUGUAGCGGUGAAAUGCGUAGAUAUAUGGAGGAACACCGGUGGCGAAAGCGGCUCUCUGGUCUGUAACUGACGCUGAGGCUCGAAAGCGUGGGAGCGAACA